ACACUGCUGAGGAGUCCCACAAUAAGACAAGACGGCCGUCCAGUGU
rnacentral:hammerhead_ribozyme from 1 species